UUUUAUUUAAUCAAAAUCAGCAGCCAACAUUCCUCCCAUUCCUCCUAACAUUCUGAUCCAAGCUAUACGUUCUUAUGCUUGAAUUAUAAUUCACUGAUUCCAGCUUUCCAAAUCAGUUUCCAAGAUUUCCCAAAACAAGAAAGAGGUAAUAAACGUCCAUUAAUUCUUCCAAUUCUUUCAUAGUUUUCAGAUCCAAAAUUUCAUUGUUAAGCUUGGCUGAAUAAAUUCGCAGAUCCAAUUUUGGUGAAUUCAGAAAGAAGAUUUUCCUCAUUUCCUACUCAUAUCAAGGUUGAGCAGGCGAUGGAAUGGAUCGGUGUUGAGCGGAUUUCCCUUUUGAUGUUAUGUAAUGAAACCUUGAGUAUGCAUCUCCAUAUGCAUAACUCACACGUUUUUUCGCUGCAAACACUCUGAAUUUGUUAUCGUAUUGUGGAACUUAUUACUCCUUCAUUUUGUUUAACUUUCAUUUGGGGUUUAGUCGUUAUGGCUGGCUCGUUUGUUAAUUACCCAAGUGGUUAUAUAUAUAUAUAUACCACUAGUUUGUUGUUAUUAAUGUUGGUUAUUUAGU